CAUAGCCUCCACCACCUCCUCCUUGACCUUGUCCGGCCUCUGAGCUGGGUGUCAUUGUGGAUAAGAGCAGCACACACAGGGCCAAUAUCAGCAGUAUGGACAUGAUUGUUUACCUGUAAGGGCAAAAUAUUAGAAACAGCACCAUAACAAUAAUUGUUAUAUUAAUACUUCAAAACUGAAAAUUAUUAACUAAUUGAUAGUUUAAUUUUAAUUCCUGAAUGUGAUCCCUGGUCUACGUGAUCUUACCAGUUGGAGGAGAAAACAAAGCAGUUGAGAUGAUGCACGUUGGCGUUGGAGUGAGCAGAAAGAUGUUCUACCACUGACAUGAACCGACGUGUACAUGUUCCUGUGAUGCUGAAGCGGCACGUUGGCGGUGGAAUGAACAGAAAGAUGCUGUACCACUGACAAACUGCUCCUGCCAUGUAGACUCCAACCACGUCUCUUCUCUCCAUCACCUCCUCUACCAUACCCGAAAGGGAGCGGCUUUUUUUCAGAGCUUCUCUGGAGGCCUCCACCCAAAGCCCCUUCAUUGCCUCCACCACCUCCUCCUUGACCAUGUACGGCCUCUGAGCUGGGUGUCAUUGUGGAUAAGAGCAGCACACACAGGGCCAAUGUCAGCAGUCU